AUUGAACGCUGGCGGAAUGCUUUACACAUGCAAGUCGAACGGCAGCACGGACUUCGGUCUGGUGGCGAGUGGCGAACGGGUGAGUAAUGUAUCGGAACGUGCCCAGUCGUGGGGGAUGACGUAGUGCACAUUACGCUAAUACCGCAUACGAUCCAUGGAUGAACUCGGGGGAUCGCAAGACCUCGCGCGAUUGGACCGGACGAUAUACGAUUAGGUAGCUGGUAGGGUAAAGGCCCACCAAGCAAACGAUCUGUAGCUGGUCUGAGAGGACGACCAGCAACACUGGAAGUGAGAAACGGUCCAGACUACUACGGGGGGCAGCAGUGGGGAAUUUUGGACAAUGGGCGAAAGCCUGAUCCAGCCAUUCCGCGUGCAGGAUGAAGGCACUCGGGUUGUAAACUGCUUUUGUACAGAACGAAAAGGUUUCUACUAAUACUAGGAGCUCAUGACGGUACUGUAAGCAUAAGUACCGGCUAACUACGUGCCAGCAGCCGCGGUAA
rnacentral:rRNA from 1 species